rnacentral:rRNA from 1 species
CAAGCGGAGGAACAUGUGGUUUAAUUCGAUGAUACGCGAGGAACCUUUACCCGGGCUCAAACGGGGAGUGGCGCAGGCAGAGACGCCUGUUUCCCACGGGACACUCCCCGAGGUGCUGCAUGGUUGUCGUCAGCUCGUGCCGUGAGGUGUCGGCUUAAGUGCCAUAACGAGCGCAACCCCCGCGUGCAGUUGCUAACAGUCAACGCUGAGGACUCUGCACGGACUGCCGGCGCAAGCCGCGAGGAAGGCGGGGAUGACGUCAAAUCAGCACGGCCCUUACGUCCGGGGCGACACACGUGUUACAAUGGGUGGUACAGCGGGAAGCCAGGCGGCGACGCCGAGCGGAACCCGAAAUCCACUCUCAGUUCGGAUCGGAGUCUGCAACCCGACUCCGUGAAGCUGGAUUCGCUAGUAAUCGCGCAUCAGCCAU